rnacentral:tRNA from 1 species
GGGCCGGUAGUCUAGUCUGGUUAGGACGCAGCCCUUACGAGGCUGAGGUCGCCGGUUCAAGUCCGGCCCGGCCCACCA